UGUGCGCGAGUCACUCGGUCUUGUUUAGGCCAGAGAGGCGCAAUGAAAGUAAAGUUGAUUGAGUUACGAUCCUCAUGCGGUUGCCCUCAGCGGUAACGGUGGGGCGCAGUAGCAGCCCGCCAAUUUCGCUUAGUGUCGAUCUGGCGGAGUUGUAGCGUAUAUGUUGGUACCCGAAAGAUGGUGAACUAUGCCUGGGCAAGACGAAGCCAGAGGAAACUCUGGUGGAGGUCUGUAGCGAUUCUGACGUGCAAAUCGAUCGUCAGACCUGGG
rnacentral:rRNA from 1 species